GGGGAAGUCAGCACGUGCCCUGAAGAGACCCGAGGAUCCUUCAGGCUUCUGCACCCGGGAAACAUCACCAUCACGUCAGCGGAGCCUCAGAAGUACAACUCCUAACAAAAUCGCGUGGUCCAAAUGUUUUGAGAUGCCUACAGGACAGAUACGAUUGAACUUAACCAGGGGCUCUAGACUGGUGGACCCAGCCUUCCAGGUGUUCAACUCGGAGGCCAAAGCCAGGGAGAACCCUCAGGACCAAGGGCUAAGAGGACAGCCAAAAUUUUGACCUUUGCCCUCCAAGGACACCACCUGGCACGAGAUCCGCCUCAGCACUUCCAGACCACCAAGUUCCAUUCCUCCAUUUAGUGAGCGAGGAAAGAAAUGGCUUCUCACUCUUGCUUUUUCUUUCCCUCAACUGCAAGGGUAGAAAAUCAGUUGCUACCAAACAUCCCAGGGAUGACAGGUAUGUCAAGGACAUCGUGUAGGAUGAUGCUCCCUUGACGGGACAGAAAAUCCAAAUGAGUAGCUUAAACAAAAACAUGGAAGGUUUAAGUGUUUGUUUUUAGGUUUUGUGCGGGGGGGGGGGGGGGUUGUUUUGGGGUUUGUUCUUGUUAUUUUCAUGACAUUGGGGAGUGAGCCCAGGAGCGCUCUACCACGGAGCCACACCCCCAGCCUUUUUAUCUUUUGAGACAAGCUCUCACUAAGUUGCCCAGGCUGGCCUUGAACUUACUGUCCUCCUGCCUCAGCCUCCCAAGUCACUGGGGAUACCAGUGGGCACUGGCGUGCCCAGCAUGGGUCAACGUUUCUGAUGACCUCGAUGAAUGGGAUCUGUAUAGCUGUCCCCUUUUGCCCUGUGACCUGGCUCUGGACAGCCUGGUGAUGGCCUUCAGCCAGUAAACGCAGUCAAAGCCAAGGAGCCCCUGCACCGAGGCCUGGGGAGGCUCUGCGCUGUGCUCUCUCCCUUAAUGACUGUUUGCUUGUGCUGCACCUUGGCCUUGCCGUGAGACCAUGCCCAGGCAGCAUGCUGGGAGCCGGGGAGGAGAACCAACACAGCCCCACUGCAGAAGCCUGAGAGAGCCCCGUGAGAGCAGAACUGCCCUGCUGCCCCCUGCCUGGAUUCCCCGCCUGAAGAAUGAGCCAGACGGGGGGUUUGUUGUUUAAGCCUCUGGCUUUGGUGCAGUUUGAUAUGCAGUAAUUCGUAACUGAGGCUUUACUGAUAUCAGAAAUAAAUGCUUGCAUUUUUUUCUCAAAAGA